UACGGAGGGUGCAAGCGUUAUCCGGAUUCACUGGGUUUAAAGGGUGCGUAGGAGGGCAGGUAAGUCAGCGGUGAAAUCUUCGAGCUUAACUCGGAAACUGCCGUUGAUACUAUCUGUCUUGAAUCCCGUGGAGAUGAGCGGAAUAUGUCAUGUAGCGGUGAAAUGCUUAGAUAUGACAUAGAACACCAAUUGCGAAGGCAGCUCGCUACACGAAUAUUGACUCUGAGGCACGAAAGCGUGGGGAUCAAACAGG
rnacentral:rRNA from 1 species